rnacentral:lncRNA from 1 species
UAGGAUUUAAGAUUUAGGAUUUGGUUUAGGAUUUAGGAUUUAGGAUUUGGUUUAAGGUUUAAGAUUUGAUUUAGGAUUUAGUAUUUGGUCUAGGAUUUGAUUAGAGGUUGGUUAGAUUUUGGUUUUUUUUAUGUUUUUAAAUAUUUCUUUAAGAUCAUUAUUAAUUCUUUAAGGAUAUUUUUUUGUAUUUUUUAAGAUUUUUUAAGUUUUUUAGGUAUUUUUUAAGUUUUUUUUUUUUUUUUUUUUUUUUUUUUUUAAGAUUGAUUUAUAAUUUCUUUAUGUUUCUUUUGUAGUUUCUUUUAAAUUUCUUUAAAGUUAGUUAAAAUUUGAUUAGGAUUAUUACAGUAUAUUUUUAAAAUAUUUGGAUUUUUAUGAAAUUUGAGAAUUUAUGGUUUAAAAAAUUAGUAUACUAUUGGAGAAUAAUAAAAAGGUUUGAUAAAGUAUAAAUUCAUAAAAAUAAUAUAUAAAAUAAAUAUAAUAAUAUAGUAUUUUUUAAAAAAAAUUAACCAAAUCAUACAUACUUAUAUUAUUGAAAAAUUAUACUUUCAUGGAUUUACUUUAACAUCAAUAAAAUUUAAAAAUUAUUUUUAUAUCUAUAAAAUUUUAAUUUUUUCUUUAUUCAAACUAUGUAAGUUAGAACAAUGUAUGGAAGAAAGAAUGAGUUUUUUUUUUUUUUUUUUUUUUUUUUCUGUAAAUUAUAUUUUGUACCUUAGACCAAAUACAAAUAUAUCACAAAAAAAUACAAGACCUUGGUCAAGUUUUGUUUAUUAAAAAUGUAUUAGUAUUAUUUAUUAAAAAAUCUAUUUGUCUUUCAUGAAGGAUACAUGACAUGUUAUUUACAUAAUUUUCUAGAAGUGCCUUAAUAUUAUUCCACACAAUGACACCUAAAAGUGAGAAAAAGAAUUUAAAAAGCUUAAUGGCAUGAAAUACAAUGAUAACUGCUUUACAUUUUCAUUAUUUUAUGAUGCUAAGGAUCACCUUAUUUGAAAGUAAAUCUUUACUAAUUAACGAAGCUUUGGACUCGAGGUUCACUGUCUCAUCUGCAUCAAAUUUAUAAUCGUAAACAUACCAGCUCCCACUUGUGUACUGUUAAACUCAACUUCAUCAUUAUAGCUAUCACCUGUUACAGCAUAGGAAGUAUCUUUUUCUGUGUAAAAAUAAAAUUUUCGACUGUUGUUUUCAUGGCAAGUUUCAUUGCUACCUGUGCCAAUUAUAUCCAACUUGAGUCAACAACUUGUGUUGAAUUAUACCCAUACAACCAAUGCAACAUCCAAUUAUUUGAUUGAACAGUAACCGACAAUCACACUGAACAUGAUGACGAAAAUUAUUAUUAUCAUCAUUAUUAUUAUUAUUCUGUGUGCAACCAGGUAUAAUUCAACCCAAUUCAUGUCAAUUUCAUUUCACCUCAUUAGCAACUUGCUAGAACAUUCCCAAUAGAGCUUCUAAUUGAUGUUUUCAAACCCUGAAGCAAGCUGUUGUGCUUUGGAGUAUCUCCAAUUGCUAUUCCCAGAGGUAGGUUGAGACAGAUUCUGCUUGUGAAUAAAGAAACAAGGUAUUGUUUUUAUUGUUAUUAUUCGUGCAUAAUUCGGAAUGUAUUUGAUGAAGUUUUUGUAUACUAGAACAAGAUCUGGUCGGUGUUUUACGACACUUUCAACGUUGAUUAUUAAGCUAACAAUGCCAAACUUGUGUGGUCCACAAAUGAACAGAGGAAUGCUGGUAUGGUCCAUUAUGAUUAAUCAUAGAAAGGAAUGUUGUUGUCUGAUUGUAUAAAUCUCGAAAAAUGGGUAACCAGGACAACGUCUUGUUGUGCACAAGACACGAAUCAUGGGUUUGGUGCUCACCCUGAAUCCUAUUACCAAUAAUUUAAAAAGAAAAGAACUGCACGAAUAGAUCUACAUGCACUGUUACAAUAAGCUAGUUGGGUACGCCCUCAGCUACACUAGUUAAAACACAAACUCAUUUCAUAUCUAACACAUCUCGACGUCGUUACUGCCGAAGGCAUGCCAUCGCAUAAGAGUAUGCUGGUAGCGUUACCGGCGAAGAAAUAGGCAGUCAACGUAGGCAAAAAAAAUGGACCAAAAGAAUAGCGUCACAGAAAUGUGUACCAUAAAUCUUUGCGUCCCAAUACUAGAAGCGGUAUUGAUCGAAUGAGGAUGGAUCGACAAUCUGAGAUCCUAUAGGCUUAAGGAAUCUCAGGUUGCUUUGUAAUGAGCUGCAAACCAGGGGUGUCAGCUUCCAAACACUUCUGAAUGUCAGGGUAGACCGUGCUAAUCUCUUUUCGAUGAACCGCAGAGUCGUAGCGGCACUGAAAGACAUAAUCAAGCGGAACUUGGAAGCAUGUAUCCACAGUCUGUCCACGGGUGCAUGGAGGACGCGUUUCUAGUUCAUCGCGGAAUCCAAUGAACCAAGGGAUGAGCCCGCCAUAUGCCUGAGCAACUCCACUGAACGUCGACUGAGGCGUGACAAACAGGUAGUCGGAGUAGCUGAGAGUGAUGAUCUCCGCCAGCGCGUCCUGGAAAAUCUUCACGCCGAACUUCUGCAGGCCUUCGUGGGAAAACUGAAAAACCUCGACGUGUUCGCCAGUUUCAGUUGGAUAGGUAGCGAAUGUGUCACUGAGAUUAUUUUUUACACCAUCAAACAACGACGCUACGAAGACGGAGGUCGUUCUGUUUGAAACAUGGGGUAACAUUCGCCGAGAAUUGGUCACGACGGGUGGAAGAAGAUGAUUGUUUAUGGCGCACUGCCAAAUUCGAGCCUCAACAACCCGAUCCAUCCUAUCGAACUGCUCCUUUUGGUAACGAUACCGAACUUGAAUGCCUAACCGACGAUCAGCUCGCUGGAGCCCAUAGUCUCGCUGAAUGCUCUUGACUUGCUCCCAAACCACGUCAGAUGGCGACAUAACAUCGCGCAAGAGGUUCGUGAGCAUCAUCUUAUCCGGAAAUAGAGCGUCCAGAACCGGCCGGAAUGAGGGCACAGCGUAUAAUUUUGGCGCGAAGUAGAUGCAGCCCAUGAUAUACACCCAUGUCACAUUCUUGUAAUAGUCCUGUUCCGUGUCGCAAAAAAAUCUGCUGUCGAGUUGCUCCGUAUACCCACCUUCGCCAUUCGCCACAGCGUAAUCCAUAAUAAGCUGCGACGUGUCAUCCCCGCCUUCAGCUCCACGAGCUAUGUCAAUGCGGCUGUGGAAACUUCCAGACUUAUUCCAGUAACUGCCCAGCCCUCUAGAGUCUCGAUUAAAGGGCGUCACAAGCUGGUUAGGAUCGAAAUGCAACCAUGAGGAUCCUUCAAAGGGCUCGCAGAGCAACUGAGGAGGCAGAAUUCCGGGUCUGGCAAUAAGCAGCACGCGCUGAGUAAUGAGAGAGUAAGCAAACGCCGACGCAAUCAUCACCAACCUAUUUCCCAACCCCGCUGCUAACUCUGUGUCCAAUAUUGUGAACUUGCACUCAACGGUGGAGUUUUGGCUCGUGAAAUACGCCACCGGGUCACCAAUCCUAUGCAAACAAGUGCGGUGGAGUUUGGAGUAUUCUCGGAGAACCUCUUGCCACUGGGAAUUCGGCUCCACGUAGGGAACGUGUUUCCUUUGCUUGUAUUGUAGCCGCAUCUCUCUGCGGCUGAGACACGGAUUCUCUCGAUUCCAUUUCACUCUGGCCUCUUCUGUGAACCAAUCGCUCUCAUCCUCCCCUCCCGUGGCUAAUCUUGUAGAUUCUUGUAAAGAAGUUAUGAAGUUUUCCAAAAGUUUUACACGCCUUUCUCUCAACUCAGUGUCAUUCAGCUCAAUUAUAGGCAGGAGUCCGAAUUCGUCCAAAUUUUCUGAAGACACCGGGACCUUCGCAGAAAAAUACAGGCAAGAGAAAAUGAGUACCAUGAGAAUGAAGAGGAAACUGAUCCCUCGGUGGACGCCGCAGCGUCUUGACGACGUCAUCAAGACAGGUGUUUCUAAGCCAGUCUUCACUUAAGCCGAUCUCGACCAUUGACCUACAGAAGAACGCCUAACCUUUGACCUGGGUCUGAAGUAUCACACCGUUCAAGGGUAAGAACUUUUAUGUGGUACGUGCUGGAGAAGGAUUGGCUAGCUCACAUUGGAGAGGUUAGAGUGGCGGCGACGAAUGUAAUUCAAGAAGAUAGCCGUUAAGCAAAUCCCAGAAACAAUCCGACUAGCGGCACCUUCUCGAUCUGGUGCAAGAAUUUACAACUCUAUAAAAAAUCGCAAGAUCUCGAAUCAAUCACAGGCUGGAAUUAAGAGCUAUUUCAUGUGCGACCUGCUCCUGUCGAUUGUACCAAGCUGCACGUUCUUAGCCUGUGGAGGUCGUCCAGGUGGUUCAAUAUCAAAUCCAACACUAACGAAAUGUAAAAGAAAAUAGCAAUCCUAAAACUGAGAGAUCGAAAGAGGAUGCUUGAAAAGCGUCCGGAAUUCAAACAGGACUGAGCGCGAGAGAUCUCACCGUGAGCCAACCAUCCGCGCUACACACACCCGUGGAGUUGAAUCGACCCAAAUACUCUCCACCACCACCACCACUCGCGGAAUCCUCCUAACUUCUAAAGUAAGUCACGAAGUUCGGGGGCUGACUAACUAAUCCUAAGUUGCAGGUUUCUGGAACCGAUUCUGGAGCGAAAUCCACGAAGUAGCAGGACCAUCACCGAGGAAGGAAGCUUUGAGGGAGAAGCCUGUGUUACACGGCACAACUACCCGAAACGCUCGGCUAGAAAAUGCCAGGGGGCUACACACAUCGAUUAACCGCAUCGACACCAAGACUUCAAUUAGAUCAGUGUGCUCCAGUAACCACCUCCAGUAACCACCUCCAGUAACCACCUCCAGUAACCACCUUCAGCACCCCGACAGGCAGGCCGAGUUGGGAGAAUGCGCCAGUUAUGAACCGGAAUCUUCUAUUAUUAGAGCCGUGAUUGGAGAUCACUUGAGAUGGUUUCUUCUUUGCAUCUAUCCAUCGAUCUAUCGAUUGAUCAGUUCGGUCGCGGGGGGUGGUCAUGUCGAUCGUGCGGGGACUUAAGCGCGUGCUGACCCUCAUUCGGCGCCAGAGUGCAGAGGCCUCUCCUUCGGAACACCACAACGAAUGGGACCAUGCUCGUCAACACGCAUGCAGACACGAAGAGACACGCAACCUUUUACUUUCUACGGUGAAAAAGAUUGCAAAGUUAAUGAGGUGAGUAUUACAUGAGUGAACUAGCUGGAUUUAUUUUAUUUUAUUUUAUUUUUUCUUUUGGAUCCUUUUUUCUUAUUUGAAUUCAUAUGGAAAGUUCAAAUAGAAAUUUAUCACGGUCAACAUGAGUCUAAUCAACUACAAGAAGGUUGGACUACAUGUAUUCUUUGGAGAAAUUUACUCCAAAUUGUUACCUGAAAGCAAUUCCUACCAAUGUUCACAUUGACUUACCUUUAAAACUUUAUUGUAUUGUUAUCUGAUUUUAUUUUUUGUAACAAUUUGAUACUAUUUGUGCUAAAUAACAUAUAACAUAUUCAUUGAUGCUUAAAUUGUAUAAUUUUUAAAUUUAUGAUAAUUAUUAUAAAAUAAAUAAAUAAUAUAAAUCAUAUGAUAUUUGUAAUAAAUAAUAAUGAAAAAAUAUACAUUUGAAGUUUAAAAGUUGUAGACAUUAUUGUUAUUAACUUACAAUAUAUCUAUAAAGUUAUUUUUUUUAAAAAUUAUCUUCUAAAUUUUAUCUUUUAUAUUAUUAUUAUUAUUAUUAAAUAUAAUUAAAUAAAUAUAAUAAAUCUUUAAAAAAUUAAGGAUUUCUUCAAAAAUUCUUUUACCUCUUGAAUUAAAAAAAAUCUCAUCAUUAUUUAUUGUUAUUGUUGUUAUUUUUAAUUAUAUAUAUAUAUAUAUAUAUAUAUAUAUAUAUAUAUAUAUAUAUAUGUCUUUUUAACUAUUUUAAAUCAAAAUUAAUAUCAUUUUGUUUAGAUGAUAAUAAUUCAUAAAUAAAUGUAUUAACAAAUACAAAAUAAUUCCAUUUAAUGCUUAUUGCUGAUUUUUAGCAUAAAUUUUUAGAUUAAAAUAAAUAUAUAAAAGCUAACAAAAUAUCUUAUUUUUAAAUCUAGACCUUAACAAUAUUUGAAAUAUAAGUAUUUUAUCUAAAGUUUUAAACUAAUUUCUUGAAAUAUUUAAAAAUUAUUUUUUUAUUUUUUUAUUUUUUCUAUUUUUUAUUUUAAAAAAUAAAAAAAUAUUUUAUAAAAUUAUAAUAAUGAUUUCAAAAUUUAAUUAGAUCUUAUAUUGUUAUUAAUUUAGUAAUUAUAUAUUAACUUUUUUGAAAUAAUAAUAAUAAUAAUAAUAGUAAUAAUUAUAUUAAUAAUAAUAAUCAUAAUAAUAGUAAUAAUAAUUUCUUCUACUUGCCAAUUAUCUUUCUUUGAUAAUUAUAAUUAUCAUCCAUGACUUGGUGCUUUUGACUUUUUAAGAGUUUAUAAUCUCAUGGCAAAAGAUUUAACAAAUCGUUUAUCAAAGCUACAUGCAAAAAUAAAAGUGCAAUUCAAAGAAGCUUAAGAAUGAUAAAAGCUAAAAUGUAAAUGCCUAUCACAAGGAACAAUCACAAUUCAAUAUGGAUAAUUGUCAAGGACAAGAACUUGAUAAAAAUAAAUGAAGGAGUUAGACUUUUUUUAAAGAAAGAUGAAAAAAUAGAAAUAACUCAAUAUCUAUAUUAAGAAAGAAACUAGAAUGGCUAUUGCCAAAAGACAAGAAAACUAGAGACCCUUGAAACUAGACUAGAAGUAAGAAAGGAGUUGAUAAGAGUGAAGAGGGCUUCACUCUUGUCUCUAUAUUUACUAUAUAACUAGGAGCUAUGUGGCGAUGUUCAAUAGGACCUCCAAUAUGUAUUGACUUUGUAGGACACAUGCCUUAACUUACAAGAUAAGUUUUUCUACAUAUGGGCCACAUAGUUAGCUUGGUCUUCAAGCUAACAACAUGUGUGGCACAUGGCCAACUUGUUGACUACGUUUCUAAUCCAAAAAGUCAAUUAAAGACACCUAUAAAGUCAAAAUAGCAUCUAUAAAGCUUCUAGGAAGCUUUUAUAACAAAUAUUAUAGAAUUAACUUACUUUUACCUAUUUUUACUUACUUCUAUUUAGUUAUACAUGUAAUUAUUGGCAUACAUGCAUAUGUCCAUGACAUUACCUUCCCUUUUAGGGACAAGUUCUAUGAGGAACAGUCAUCAUAUGUUGAAAAAGUCUAUGAUACGACGAAUUAUAUUUGACACAUACUCUGAUCUUUAUUUUCAUCAAAGAUGAUUGAUAGGGCCUCUCAACCAUGAAUAAUGUCCCAUAUUAGGGUGGAAAGACCACCCAGUUAUUUGAUUAUUGUUGAGGCUUUCAUAACUUCCUUCAAAUAAAAUAUUUGGAACACCAUCAAGAGUUGUUCCUACCUCUAGUAAAAUCACCAAACAUUGGGAGUUUCUUCUAAGAUCGUGAUAUCAAACGCAUUGUAUCUUGUCAUCUAUUUGAGGAAGAACAUGUUAUUCUUGAGGAUUUUCAUCUCAAUUACAUCAUCUUGAAGGUUGUGGCAAUCGUAAUGUCUUGUUUGGCAAGUCAGCAAACAAAGGCUCUUGAGUCGAAUCUGCUAGUUAUUCAUUCUCCAUCUCUUCAAAGUCAAAACUACAAAGAAGCUACUAACAAAGAUUGAAAGUAGAAUGUUAUCUUGCCUAGACCUUAUUUCUUUUAUAAGGAAGGUUUUCAUCUUGAUUGUCAUGGAUGUCGUCAAUGAAAAGCCUCCACUAUCUUUGCUGCAUUUGCAAGAUUCUUUACUGGCUCCCAUGUGCAUUCACUAAUAUCAUAUCCACACCAAUGGAUAAGAUAUUCCUAUUUAUUUCGGUGCUCCCUUGAAUCUAAGACUUCUUCCAUUUUGAACUCUUUAUUAUUGUCCCAUACUAUAAGAAAAGGUGGAGCUUGUCUUUUUCUUAAGAUGUCCACUAUCUUGUAUGGUUCAAGAAGAGAGACGUGGAAUACUAGAUGUAAUUCCAUUAAUUGCAGUAGGUAUAAACGAUAUGUAACUGGAUUGGUUUAUGCAAAAAUAGAAAAUGGUCCAAGCCUUCCAUAGUUCAAUUUAUCAUAAGAACGAGUGGUUAUGAGAUAAUGAUAAAGUAACCAUAUCUUAUCACAUACAUGAAAUAGUGAUUUUUCCUAUAAAUAAACAUCUACAUUGAUAUUUUGCUAUUCUUGAGCUUCUUUUAACUAUACCUUUAUCGUUGCAAAUAGCUCUAAUAAAUGAAUUUCUAAAACUUUCGCAGCAAGAUUAUCAACUUUUGAAAAGUCAAAAGUAUCAAGUUGUGGAUGAUAACCAUAAUUAGCAAAGAAAGGUGUUUAAUUUGUAGAAGAAUGUACCAUAUUAUUGUAAGCAAACUCUAUCAAUGACAAAAGAGUUGUUCAAUCAACUUAUUGGUAGUUGAUGGUAUAUCAUAAAUACUACCUCAAAACUUGAUUAAUACGCUCUGUUUGUCCAUCAAUUUGAGGAUGGAAUGUCGAAGCUGGUUUUAUAUCCACUUUUAGAAUCUUGAAAAGAAUUUGCAAAAAUCUUGAUACAAACUGAGUUCUCCUAUCUAAUGUAAUAUCCUUGAAUAAUCCAUGAUAGCAAUAGAUAUUAUCAAGAAAGACCUUAGUUGUUUCUUUACUUGUGAUAGAUUUUAUACAUGCUACAAAAUAUACUAUCUUGGUAAACAAAAAAUCUACUAUUACGAAUAAAGAGUCAUAAGAACCUGAAAUUGAAAGAUCUGUGAUGAAAUCUAUAGAAACAGAAGACCAUGGUUGUUAUGGAAUAAGUAAUGGCUGAAAAAGUCCGUUGUGAUGGAUAUAGGCAUGUAAGCCAGUCAUUACAUAUAUAAAUAAGUAGAAGUAAGUAAAAGUAAAAAAAAGUAAGUUAAUUCUAUAAUAUUUGCUAUAAAAAAUUCCUAGAAGCUUUAUAGACACUUCUUUGACUUUAUAGGUGUCUUUAAUUGACUUUUUGAAUUAAAAACAUAGUCAACAAGUUGGCCAUGUGCCACACAUAUUGUUAGCUUGAAGACCAAGCUAAUUAUGUAGCCCAUAUGCAAAAAAACUUAUCUUAUAAGUCAAGGCAUGUCUCUUACAAAGUCAAUACAUAUUGGAGGUUCUAUAGAACAUUGCCAUGUAGCUCCUAGUUAUAUAGUAUAUAUAGAAACAAGAGUGAAGCCUUCUUCUCUCUUGUCAACUCUUUUCUUGCUUUCACUCUAGUUUCAAGGAUCUCUAGUUUUCUUGGCUUUUGGCAAUAGCCAUUCCAAUUUUUUUUUUUAUAUAUACAUCAAGUUAUUUUUAUUUUGUCAUCUUUCUUUGAGAGAAGUCUCACUUAUUGAUUUAUUUUUGUCAUAUUCUUGCCCUUAAUAAAUUGACAAGAAUAUACUUACAAUAUCAGAGCUUUGUCUAAUCUUGAUUAAGAGUGGAUUACCCUUUUCUCUUGAUAAGACGUAAGCAUAUUAGAAGUUACGGAUUACCCUCUUCUAAACUGAUAUUGUCCUUAGAAUUUUCUUUGUUCUCAAGUCCUCUCUUCUAUUUGUCUUGAGCGAUAUUAUACAUCUUCUAUUUUCUAAGUGUUAUCAUGGUAGAACUUGCUAAAAUGAAGAAUGCAAUGGCACAAAUGCAUGAGCAAUUGAGAGAGUUAAUACUUGCGAUGCAUCAACUCAAUUUACCACCACAAGGAGCAACAAGAUUGGUAGAAAGUGAAGAUAUAGAAAUGAUUGGAGUUGCUUCAACAUCUGCACCAAAUCAUGUCCCUUUUCCUAUGGUGGAACGCCCUUCCAAUGUUAGAAAAUCAAGAAUUGCCCUACCCGAGAAGUUUGAUGGCACCAAAUCAAAGUUUAGAAGAUUUAUCAAUAAAGUAUAACUUGUGAUUGAACUCUAACCCCAAAGCUAUCCAACUCCAAGAUCGCAAGUUAAAUUUAUUGGUACACUUCUUUCAAGUUCAACAUUAUCAUGAUUUUCAUCUUUUCUUGAACAAUGAGAUUUAAUAUUAGAUAAUUUAGAUGCUUUUUUGGCAGAGUUUCAUUCCAUGUAUGGAGAACAUGAUACAAUUCAUGUUGCAACCAAUAAGAUCUGUAUUUUAUGACAAGACAAUCGAUCAAUAAUAUUGUAUGCUUCAUAAUUUUGACAACUUGUAACUGAUAUCAAGUGGGAUGAUGUUGCACUUAUUUGCCAAUUUUUCUAUAGAUUAUAAUAUGAGGUAAAAAAAUUAAUGCUCAACUUACCUGAUCCUCAAACAUUGAGUCAAGCAAUUGACUUUGCUGUGAAGUGCGACAAUCAUCUUUUUGAAUUCCAAUCUGAGAACCAUACAAGAAGACCUCAACAUUACUAUAAUUCAAUGGCAACACCAACAUCUCUUCAAUACAUACAUUCAGAAGUAGAAAAUAUGCAAAUUGAUGUAAUACGUUUUAAACCUCUUAUUGAGCAAGAAAAGAUUCAUUGCUGUCAAGAAGGAUUAUUCUUAUAUUAUGGAGAACCUAAGGGCAUUCUUCAACAUUAUUCAAGAAAGCGACGCAACCAUAAAAUGAGGAGUACAGCAAUCAAAGUAGAUAGCAUGUUGGAAAAUGAAUUUCUCCAGCUAUAAUAGGUACCGUAUGGCUGGAACCUUAUACAACACCUAAUGAAGGUCCUAUUCUCUCCUUAGAACCCUCUCCAUGUUUUACCAUAAAUGUUAUUUUAGGACCUAAAUAUCGCAAAGCCUCUACCUUGUUAGAUUCAAGAGCCUCAACAUGUUUCUUAGAUGAAGUAUUUGUUAAAAGAAAUAGCAUAUUUUUAGUGAAGAAAACUAAACAUGUUCAUGUAGAAGUCAUAGAUGGUCGUCCAUUGUCUUUAAGAGAUGUUACUCAUGAAACUCUUCCUAUAGAAGUAGCAACUAAUGGUCAUAGUAGCUUUGUAAUAUUUAAUAUCAUUAGAUCUCUCUCUAAUCCAAUCAUUUUAGGUUUAUCAUGGCUAGAAAAAUAUAAUCCUAAAAUAGAUUGGACUUCUCGUAGUCUUAACUUUUUUGAAAGUAUAACUAAGAGCGUAGUUAAUCAAGUAGAAAGUCAUCAGUCUAAUAUAAUUAAACCUAUAUUUGUAGGUGUAAGAGUUUUUUUGCAUACUACAAAAGAAGGAUCACCUUGUAUCAUUUAUGCCACACUUAUUUCUACUAGUGGAAAGACUUCAAGUGGCAUUCCAAGCCAAUAUCAAGAUUUUUAAGAUAUAUUUGAGAAGAAAUAUGUGAAUAUUCUUCCAAAACAUCAUUCCUAUGACAGCUCAAUUGACCUUCAAGAAAGAGCACAACCGCCAUUUGGAUCAAUCUACAAUUUAUUACAAAAUAAUUUGGCUGAACUGAAGGAGUAUAUUGAAGAAAAUCUGGCCAAAAACUUCAUAUGCUAUUUCAAAUCUCCAAUAGGAGCUCUAAUUUUAUUUGUAAAGAAAAAAGAUGGAUCACUACAGAUGUGUGUUGAUUAUCGAAGAUUCAACAAAAUCACCAUAAAAAAUAAGUAUCCACUACUUUUGAUAUCUAGACUCUUUGAUUAGUUGAAUCAAACUAAGAUCUAUACAAAAAUAGAUCUAUAAAGAGCAUACAAUCUGAUACGCAUCAAAAAAGGAGAUGAAUGGAAGAAUGUGUUUCAAACAAGGUAUGGACAUUUCAAAUACAAUGUCAUGCCUUUUGGACUUACAAAUGCAUCGGCAGCAUUCCAAUAUCUAAUGAAUGAUGUCUUUGGAGAGUUUUUAGAUGAUUUUGUUGUCUGUUACCUAGACGACAUCUUAAUCUAUUCUAAGAACAUAGAAGAAUAUGAACUUCACGUUCGUCAUGUAUUACAAAAACUAAGAGAUGCGGGAUUCUAUGCCAAGAUAGAAAAGUGUAUAUUUCACACUACUCAAGUUGACUUCUUAGGAUACAUCAUUUCAAAUGAUGGACUUAUGAUGGAUCCUAAGAAAGUUCAAACUAUUGUAGAUUGAAAGAUCUCAAAAAUAGUAAGAGAUGUCUAAUACUUUUUGAGAUUUGCCAACUACUAUCGAAUCUUCAUCAAAGACUUCUUUCAAGUUGCAGCUCCACUUACAUGUUUGACUUGUAAAGACAAACUUCAAUGGAAUCAAGAAGCAAAAACAACAUUUAAAGCUUUAAAGAUAGCUUUUGUUUCUACACCAAUCUUGUAUUGCAUUGAUUUUUUUAAGCCAUUUUUUAUGGAAAUAGAUGCAUGAGACUUUGCUUUCGAUGCCGUAUUGUUACAAAUGGGAAUAGAUGAUAAACUUCAUUCAAUAGCUUUUCAUUCUAGAAAAUAUUUAAUAGUAGAGAUCAAUUACGACAUCCACAAUAAAGAACUUCUUGUAAUCAUGGAUUCGUUUCAAGAAUGACGCCAUUAUUUAGAAGGUACUUCUAGCCUAGUCAUAAUAUACAUGGAUCACAAGAACCUUGAAUAUUAUACAUCAGCACGUGUUUCAAAUUGUCCGCAAGCUUGUUGUUGUAUUACGUACUUUCUAGCUUAAAAUUGCACCGGGUGUCUGGUUGUAGAAGAUAAAAUAAUAUUUUGCAAGUAUCCAAGUAAUCUAGUAGGUUUCAACCCUCUAAAUACAAUCUAUUUUGGAUUAUGUAAAAGCUUAAUCCCAAUAUAAAGUGCUUAGAAACACUAUUUUAAUAACUUUUAGAUAUUAUGAGCAUAAAUUCUUUUGUUAUUUGUUAGUUUUAUUUUUAUUUUUUAUUUUUUUGAAACUCUAAUCCUAGACAGCGAGCUUCGGCAAGCUAUAAUUCACAAUCUGAUCAUCCGAUUAUUGUCAAACUUCUACUACUAGUGUCUUUGCAAGUCUUCUAAAUGCUCAAGAAGUUCAAUCGAAUCCAACUUACAGAUUGCAAGAAAAUGCCGUAAAUCCACAUUGAUGUCCCUUGAUUGCCGCCUAGAAAGUUGAUGACAAACUUUGACUUAUAAUUUCUCCUUCUUUAACUUUUUAUUCUCAUUCAAAUUUUGUGUGUAGCUCCGCCUUUAAGUCCUCGACUUAUUACGUCAAAAUUCACCUUAUUCAAGCUAAUAGCUCUCCCAAUAUUACAAAAAUCCUAAACAACCCCAAUAUGCCAACUUCUGAUACCUCUUUAUACUAAUGAUCAAAUAUCCUCUAUCCGUAUCGUUAGAUUAAUGAAAAAAAUUGCAAGCACUUGGCAUACUCAACCAUCUAUAUACCUCUAAAAUUUAAACUAUAGAUGUCUCUCUAAUUUCAUAAAACAGUCAAGAGUACUAGUCUUAACUUUAUUGUAAGAAAAAUCCAAAUCACAAUAUAAACACUAACUUCGAACAAUGAUUGCUUAGUCCUCUCAACCCUAUGAAAAAAACUAAGUCUUACACCUUUUGAAGGAGCUUGAAGCUAGCUCUCCGACCUCCAAAAUCCCGAUCUCCCAAUGCCUCCUUCUUUUUCCUCUCUUUUCAUUUUACUCUGUAAGGUCCCCUCUUCUUGCACCCUAGACUGGGAAUUGGAACAGCAGACAGCGUUUCUCCAAAAUAUCAUAGAGAACGGAACAACUUGAAAUGGAACUAAAGACUCUAUAAUCGAGACCUCAUUGGGUUGUCCAACCGAAUCAGGUCUCACACUAGGUAAGAGGCCCGUAACAAGACCUGGAUUGGAUGUCUCCAUAAUUCGGUCAAACUGGUCCUUCAAAUCAGGCCCCAAAUAUUGAAUUGGUCCUUUCUUCUUUUGCCGACUCAUAAUAAGAACAGCUUGGACACAUUCCACUCGAUUUAUCAAAGAAUCUUAAGGACCUCAAUUUACCUCCUCAAUUUUUUUCUUGGCUUUGGAUCUACUAAUCCUGAUUAUUGAAAUUGAACAGAGGAUUAUAUUGUUGAUAAGUAUGCCUUGACUGCUUGCAAUUCCUACACAUUGGCGCGUAAUCGCCACUAGCUCUGAGAUUAGGACAUUCACUAGCAUAAUGAUCAAUCUGUCUGCAACGAAAACAACGAAGUGGUCUUUUUGCACACCCAUCAGACACAUUGGGUGUCUCCACCGGUAUAUACCUACUAGGCUUGUUCCAUAAAGGGUUAAAAAAUGAUCCUGGUUGUCCCGUUAGUAUAGAAGGUACUUGGUUUGAUGACGUCGAUGGAGCAUAUUGUUGAUGUCAUGUACAGAAGUAUAGCUUGCAAUGGGGUGACAUUAAUUGGCCCGUGAAUAUUGGUACUGGAAUUGGCCACUAUUUCUAAUAUCCAAGAUGACUAAAUAUUAAUAAAAUCUUUUUCAUUUAUAUUUUUACCAUAUAGUCGUGUUACAAUACGACAUCCACCUCCCUCUGAACCUGUGCAUCCUCUAGUAUGCACCAAAUAACCUAGUUGUUGUUUGAUUCAUAAUAUGUUCUCCAUGUCCUCGUCUAAAUCUUCUUCAUCACUUUUGUUGUCCAAGUCUAAUUCAUCUUCUUGUUGAAGAAUAUCUAUGUCCUCAUCAAGGUCUUCUAUAUUUAUUUAUGUAUAUCUUUGUUUAAAUAUUUUUACUCACUUCUCUACAAUUGGUAUUUUUAACCUUAUUCCAUCUAACUCCCGCAAUGAAUAAGUUGCAUUAUCAUGAACAGUUGUUACCACAUACGGUCCAAACCAUUGUUUAGAAAACUUCUUUAAAGUACUAUGUUGAUUGUCCAAGCUACUAUCAUAGACCAAAACUCAAUCACCUUCUUCAAUUAAUUUAGGACUCAAUCGAUGCUACUUAUCAAAUCCUGCCUUAUUUUCUAACCUCGCUCUUUUUAACCUUCUUAAUGCUAUUUGUCCAUCUUUUGAUCUUUGUUCUAAUUGUUGAAUUGUAAUAGCUAGAAGUUCUUCUCUUGUCAAUCCAUCUUUCCAUGGUAGCAUACUCCAAGUAGGUACUUUUUCUUCAAUUGACAUAAUUGGUUUUUGACCUGUCAUAAGUUCAAUAGGCAUAUAUCCUAUUACUGAGCUAUGAGUUGUUCAAUCAGCUGAUAAUACAAAUGAAAAAAGUCGAGGCCAUUCUUUAACCUUCCCAUUAUAAGCUUUAACUAAUGCUUUCACAAUCGGUGGGUGACCACGUUCACUUUUUGCAUAUCCUUCAAGAUUAUAAGCAAUUGUCAGUGAUAGUUUAAUUCCACAUCUUUCAAAGAAUUCACGAGCUUCUUGUGCAUUUAAUUCUCCACGAUCUACACUGAUUUUUCUUACACAUCUGUAGCGGCAAAUAACAUCUUCAAGCAAAAAUCUACAAAUUUCUUCCAUAGAUUUUGUUUUCAAUACUCUUCCUUCUACUUGAUUUGAUAAAUCUUCAUGAGCUAAGAUCAAAUAUCUCAUUUGCCAUAAUUCGAUUGGCAUAAUAACCAAAUCAAUGACCAAUUAAAAUGAAUAGCUAGAGGAUAUGUAAGAUGAAGACUAUCUCGAUGUCGUAUAUUAGAAUACGCUUGACAAAUUUUACAUGACUCUACAAAUAAGAGCACAUCUCGAUACAUAUUUUUCUACCAAUAUCGUUCUUUAAGUUUAGCAAAAGUAGCAAAAAUUCCUCUAUGUCUUUCCCAUAAACUAUCAUGAAAUCCCUUUAAUAAUUUUUGUUUCUCUUCCUUAUUGCCUAUCACUCUUUGUAGCAUUCCAAUUCCUUUCUUUGGUCUCUUCCAUAAAAAUCCUUCUUGAAGUAAAAAUCCAUAUGCUUUUUUUCUUAUUUGUUUAAAUUUUUUUAUAGACCAAUUUUCUUGCUUAGUCAAGGUAUUCAAGUAAUGACCAAUAUCCAAUAAUUCUCCUUCAUAAAAUUCUUCAAGAAAUAGCUUGUCUUCUUUGUUAAGAUUUGAUAUUGAAUAGAAUUUUGAUCCAACAUCAUCAAUGUCUUCAACCAUUUCGUCUUCUCUUUCAUAUCUUGCUUGAGAUAGCAUGUCUGUUACUAAAUUGUCUUUUCCAGCAACAUGCUUAAAUUCCGAAUUUAAUGACUUAAUAUAAGCAAUCCAUCUUAACAUUGCAAUAUGAGGCGUUGAAUAAUUAGUAAUCAUUCUAAGUAAUGAUAAGCAAUUUGUUUCAAUUACUACUACUGCACCAAUCAAAUAAUCCCUUUCAGAUUUCAUAGCCGAAACAACUUCCCAAAGCUCUCUUUUGACUUGCGAAUAUGCAUGUUGACGAGUACUUAAAACUUUAGCUCCAAAUCAAACUGCAAAUCUAUUUCCACUUAAAUCAUCUUGACCCACAGCCCAUCCAAUAGCAAUAGGACUUGUAUCCAUAGUAAGAAUUACUUAUAUAUUACAGUCAAAAUCAAUUUUUCUUAAAAUUGGAGGUGUCACCAAUAACACCUUUAGCUUUUGCAUUGCUUUAGUAUACUUUCUUUCUCAUUUAAAUCGAUAACCCUUACGUAAUAAUUCAUACAAUAGAUCUGCUAUAUAAGUAUAAUAAGGAAUCUAUAUACGAUAAAAUACAUAAGAUCCUAAAAACCUGCGUACUUCUAUUAAAGAGUCACAUGAAUCUUUCAUCCUUCCAAUUGCAUCAACUUUGCUUGGAUCUGGCUUUUUUUCAUAAAAUCCACACAAAUGCCAAAUAAUAAGAACUUCAUAUACUCCAAAUAUAGAUUUUACUCUUCAAAGUAUAAGAUGAAUCUCUCCAAGUCGAGUUAAAAUCUUUUCAUAAUCUUGUAUAUGAUCAACAACAUAUUUGCGACACCCUCUUUCAUCUAAAGUUUCAUCUUUUUUUCCUUCUUUACAUCCUUUGAUAGGAACAUCAUCUAAAAAAGGCAUAGUUUUUUCAGGAAUGUAGUCUCUUAAUACCUUGUUCAUCCCAUUCAUCAUAUGUGCAAUUGAGUUAGUAGCACCUUGUGAGAGAGUACACAUUUUAAGUAAUCUAAGUGGCAUUCUCAUAGUUAUUAGAUUUCUACUCCCAUGCGUAAGUUGAAAUUGAUCAUAACUUGAAUAUAAAUCACCUAUUGAAUAAAUUGUCCUUCCCGCAAACACUUCUACAAACUCAUCUACUAAAGGUCUUAUACUUACAUUUCUUAUAGUUACUGCAUUCAUUGGUUGCAUAUCUUGAAUAAAACAUAACGAUCCAUUUUUCUUAGGCACCGUAAACCAACGACUAGAAUAUGGAGUAAAAAAAGGCUCCAAAAUUUUUAUUCGUAUCUUUUCUUUCAAUAAUUCCAUCAAUUUAGGUAAAUGUGUCCUCGACACGGAAAUUGGCCAUAAGUUCCAAAGUACAUGAGGUACUGUAAAGAUAACCAUAAGAGCAACAACAUUAGGAUCUACACAUCUUAUUUCACAAGACCCAAAGGUAAAUGAUUUACCUCGUUUUGCAAGCAUUUUUUUUAAAUAUUCAAUUUCUAUUGGAAAUAAAAAACCAUCACAUCCAAUUUUCAAUUCUUCAAAAGUCUUCUUUGUAAACUAAUGUCCAAUCUUCUUUGGAUCUCUUAAACUCUCUUCUUUUGAUGCUUCUUCCAUUUGCUCCUUAGAAUCUUCUGAUAAAGGUCCGGCAACAGGUUUUACCUUUUUAUCUAUUGUUUUAUAUUUUGUCUCUACAAUAACUUCUGGUGCUUGAAAAGAUUCAAGUAUAGUAUAAACCUCCUUGAAAUGAAUUUUCACAAUCUUAUCAUUAUCUCUUAAUCCAAUAGAUGCAAUUAAUCCCAAAGAAUCCUCCAAUCCAUUUUCUUCAUAAACACCUAAAAUCCUCUCAUCAUCUUCUAAUGUCUCUAAUUUGUAUAAUUUCCUUUCAAUACUAUAUAAUCUUUUUCUUUCUUUUUUUUUAAAAUCAUCAACUUUCUUAUAUAUAAUAUUUAUAUUUUCAAAAAUAUCAAUAAAACUCACAUCAAAGGUACCUACAUCUCGCAAGAGUACCUCCUCUUUUGUACCUCUAUAAUCGUGCUUUAUAGUGGUACUUCUCCAAAAUCCUUAAAUUCUUCAAUAACCCUUAACAAUGAUUUCUUCUUCAAUCUAUCUCGAUUUUGUUCAUGAUUAAGAAGUACCAUUAGAAAUUGUACAGUUUUUUUUUCAUCUUCACUAUGUACCCUAGCAUAAGCAGAACCAUUGUCAAGUACUUUUGUUUCCAUCCGUAUUGUCAUAAUAAAAGGCUGUCCUAAAAUCAAUAAAUAAGACAAUGUCGUGAUGUAAUAUGACUAGUAGGUGAAAGGGUGAAAAAAUAUAUCAUGUUUUGAGGAUCUCACUUCAAAAAUAUUGUAGCAAGUUAUCUUGGAAAAAUAGAUAUUAGUAAAAGGGUAGAAAAAUUAAAGGUGCUAAUGCUGCCUUUUUACAAAUUAUGCUUCUAUUUACUUUGUAAGGCCAUAAGUAAGGCAAAACAAGGUAGAUUAGAAAAAUAAAGGAUAUAGACAUAUGUAGGGAGGAGUUAGGAGUGCAAAUUAGUAAAAAUUACCUCAAGAAGACGAAAGUUGAUACCCGGAGAGGACCGGUUAUGAACCAGGGUCGAAAUCAGACCCUGAGGCACAAAACCGAGUCUCGACGACGACUCCAAGACUCUUUGGCAGAUCGGAGAAUGGGGUCUGAUAGAAGAUUGGAUAGGGUUUCUAUGGGCAUUGAUUUUGGAUGAUUUGGAUUUGAUAUGACUUUGUAAGAGCUUUACAAAAAGAAGUUUUGUUUCGGAUGACUUGGGUUUUAUGAAAUAAAAUAGGGUUUAUGUUUUGAGUGAUUUUGAUAGUUUUGUUGCAGAUCUAUAAGUGAAAUUUUUUGGAUUCAUGAUUAUAGUUGUAUUAAAUACAUGUUGUAAAUUUGAGCUCGAUCUAACGGUUGAAGUAAGAGAUAUUGAGGUUUAAGCAGGUCAAGGUCUCAAAAAGUAGAAUUUUAGGUUUAGUGAGGGUUUUUAAGAUUUCAUGCAAUCUACAAGUUGAAUUGGAGUAAAACUUAUGUGAAAGGAUAUUAGACUUGUUUUUCUAUAUCCAUGAAAAAUUUGAAACCAAUCGAACGGCGCAAAAAAGAGAAAUUGCCUCUGGAAAGUUAGCAUCAAGAUUAAAGAAGGAGGCUGGCUAAUACUCGAACACAUUUUUGUGGUUUUCGCCAAUUUGGUAACUCCGAUCCUUUUCAAAUUUUUUUGUACUUGUUUUAAACUUGAUUUUUAAGAAGUAUACAAAUUUUUAAUUGAGAUCAACGGUUUAUUCAUUAGAUAUUGAGGUUUAAAUCUAUCAUAGGAAUUACUAGGAUUUGGAUUAGGAUUUGGCUAGGGUUCGAUUUAGGGUUUGAUUUAAAGUUUAGAAUUUGGAUUAGGAUUUGAUUAGGGUUUGAUUUAGGAUUUGGAUUAGGGUUUGGAUUAGGAUUUAGGGUUUGAUUAGGAUUUGGUUAGGAUUUGAUUUAAGGUUUAGUUUAGGGAUUAGGGUUUGGAUUAGGGUUUAGGAUUUAGUUAGGAUUUGAUUUAGGAUUUGGAUUAGGAUUUGGAUUAGGGUUUGGAUUAGAGUUUGGAUUAGGAUUUAGAUUAGGAUUUGGUUAGGAUUUGAUUUAAGGUUUGGUUUAGGAUUUAGGGUUUGGAUUAAGGUUUAGGGUUGAUUUAGGGUUUGAAAUAGGGUUUGAUUUAGGGUUUAUUUUAAGGUUUGUUUAGGAUUUGACUCAAGAUUUAAGAUUUAUUCGGAUUUAAGAUUUAAUUAGGUUUGGUCUAAAGUUUGAGUAAAAUUCAAUAGGAUUUUAAUUAGAAUUAAAUUAAGGUUGAAUUGAUAUAUAUAUUUGAGUAAUAUUUGUGAUCAUUCUAAUAUUUCUUUAAGAAUUUUAUUGUUUUUUUGAAAUUUCUUUGAGUUGUUUUGAAUUUGAUUA